GACGAACGCUGGCGGCGUGCUUAACACAUGCAAGUCGAACGGGAAGUUUGUGGAAAUUCUUUCGGGAAUGGAAAUGAAAUGAAAGUGGAGAACGGGGGAGUAACACGUGAGCAACCUACCAUACACAGGGGGAUAGCCGUUGGAAACGACGAUUAAUACCGCAUGAGACCACAGAAUCGCAAGAUAUAGGGGUUAAAGAUUUACGGGUGUAAGAAGGGCUCGCGUCUGAUUAGCUAGUUGGAAGGGGAAAGGCCUAGCAAGGCGGCGUACAGUAGCUGGGAUGGGAGGAUGAACCGUUACGUUGGAGCUGAGACACGGUCCACACUCCGACGGGAGGCAGCAGUGGAGUAUAUAGCACGCUGGAGGGAGCCCUGAUGCCGCGGCGUCGCGGAAGCGAGGAUUGUUGUCGAAUCGUAAAGCCCUGUGCUAUGAGGAGUGAGUGACGGUAACGGAUAAGGAAGCCCCGGCUAACUACGUG
rnacentral:rRNA from 1 species